rnacentral:rRNA from 1 species
GAUGAACGCUAGCGGGAGGCUUAACACAUGCAAGUCGAGGGGCAGCAUUUACUUCGGUAAGAUGGCGACCGGCGCACGGGUGCGUAACGCGUAUGCAACCUACCUUAUACAGGGGACUAGCCCAUGGAAACGUGGAUUAAUACCUCAUAGUAUUGUAAUAUCGCAUGAUAUUACAAUUAAAAUUUCGAUGGUAUAAGAUGGGCAUGCGUCUGAUUAGCUAGUUGGUGAGGUAAUGGCUCACCAAGGCAACGAUCAGUAGGGGUUCUGAGAGGAUUAUCCCCCACACUGGUACUGAGACACGGACCAG